rnacentral:rRNA from 1 species
AUUGAACGCUGGCGGCAUGCUUUACACAUGCAAGUCGAACGGUAACAGGCCGCAAGGUGCUGACGAGUGGCGUACGGGUGAGUAAUGCAUCGGAACGUGCCCAGUCGUGGGGGAUAACUACUCGAAAGAGUAGCUAAUACCGCAUACGAUCUAUGGAUGAAAGCGGGGGACCGUAAGGCCUCGCGCGAUUGGAGCGGCCGAUGUCAGAUUAGGUAGUUGGUGGGGUAAAGGCUCACCAAGCCAACGAUCUGUAGCUGGUCUGAGAGGACGACCAGCCACACUGGGAGUGAGACACGGCCCAGACUCCUACGGGAGGCAGCAGUGGGGAAUUUUGGACAAUGGGCGCAAGCCUGAUCCAGCAAUGCCGCGUGCAGGAAGAAGGCCUUCGGGUUGUAAAAUGCUGUUGUACGGAAGGAAACGGAUCUGGUUAAUACCCGGGGCUAAUGACGGUACCGUAAGAAUAAGCACCGGCUAACUACGUG